UACGUAGGGUCCGAGCGUUGUCCGGAAUUACUGGGCGUAAAGAGCUCGUAGGUGGUUUGUCGCGUUGUUCGUGAAAACUCACAGCUCAACUGUGGGCGUGCGGGCGAUACGGGCAGACUUGAGUACUGCAGGGGAGACUGGAAUUCCUGGUGUAGCGGUGAAAUGCGCAGAUAUCAGGAGGAACACCGGUGGCGAAGGCGGUUCUCUGGGCAUGAUCUGACGUGAGGAGCGAAAGUGUGGGGAGCGAACAGG
rnacentral:rRNA from 1 species